rnacentral:rRNA from 1 species
GGUGAAUACGUUCUCGCUCCUUGUACACACCGCCCGUCAAGUGAGCAAAGUUGGCAGUACCUGAAGUCGGAAAUCCUAACCCGCAAGGGAUGGACCCGCCAAAGGUAAGGUCAGCGAUGAGCGCUAAGUCGUAACAAGGUAUCCGUUCUGGAAGGAGCGGAUGGAUCACCUCCUUUCUAGGAG